rnacentral:rRNA from 1 species
AACGAACGCUGGCGGCAUGCCUAACACAUGCAAGUCGAACGAGACCUUCGGGUCUAGUGGCGCACGGGUGCGUAACGCGUGGGAACCUGCCCUUAGGUUCGGAAUCACUCCCCGAAAGGUGUGCUAAUACCGGAUAAUGUCUUCGGACCAAAGAUCUCUCGCCUUUGGAUGGGCCCGCGUUGGAUUAGCUAGUUGGUAGGGUAAAAGCCUACCAAGGCGACGAUCCAUAGCUGGUCUGAGAGGAUGAUCAGCCACACUGGGACUGAGACACGGCCCAGACUCCUACGGGAGGCAGCAGUGGGGAAUAUUGGACAAUGGGCGAAAGCCUGAUACAGCAAUGCCGCGUGAGUGAUGAAGGCCUUAGGGUUGUAAAGCUCUUUUACCCGGGAUGAUAAUGACAGUACCGGGAGAAUAAGCACCGGCUAACUCCGUG